GAGAACGUGGUGUAACUGGAUGAACACAUCGGUCUACGAAACUGAAGAGUGAAGGUUCAACUCCUUCCGUUCUCGCCA
rnacentral:tRNA from 1 species